GCAGAACGCGAAGAACCUUACCUGGGUUUGACAUGGCCGCAAAACUGUCAGAGAUGGCAGGUCCUUGGGGCGGGUCGACAGGUGGUGCAUGGCUGUCGUCAGCUCGUGUCGUGAGAUGUUGGGUUAAGUCCCGCAACGAGCGCAACCCUCGUUCGAUGUUGCCAGCGCGUUAUGGCGGGGACGUCAUCGAAGACUGCCGGGGUCAACUCGGAGGAAGGUGGGGAUGACGUCAAGUCAUCAUGCCCCUUAUGUCCAGGGCUUCACGCAUGCUACAAUGGCCGGUACAAUGGGCUGCGAUACCGUGAGGUGGAGCGAAUCCCAAAAAGCCGGUCUCAGUUCGGAUCGGGGUCUGCAACUCGACCCCGUGAAGUCGGAGUCGCUAGUAAUCGCAGAUCAGCAACGCUGCGGUG
rnacentral:rRNA from 1 species